CACGGAGGCCUCAAGCGUUGUUCGGAAUUACUGGGCGUAAAGGGUGCGUAGGCGGCGAGGUAAGUCAGAUGUGAAAGCCCGGGGCUCAACCCCGGAAUGGCAUCCGAUACUGCCUUGCUUGAGGAUUGGAGAGGAGACUGGAAUUCACGGUGUAGCAGUGAAAUGCGUGGAUAUCGUGAGGAAGGCCAAUGGCGAAGGCAGGUCUCUGGACAAUUCCUGACGCUGAUGCACGAAGGCCAGGGGAGCAAAAAGG
rnacentral:rRNA from 1 species